UUUCACCUCUAACUUCAUUUACGGACCUGCAACGUGUCAUUUAUGAAGAGGAAAGGGCAGCAUAUGUUGAAGCCAUCAGACAAAAUAUGAUGGAUGGGAAAGCACAUCCGCUUACUUUUAUUCAUCACACCUCAACGUAUCAGGCUUCCAUGUGCAAGUUAACAGAAUACUGGCGAGAAUCUAUUACCUUUGAUGCCCAUUGAUUUUGUGUCACUGUUGAUUUGUACUGAAUGCACAUCUCUUUUUCGUUGGUUUUUUUUUUUUGCAGUUUAAGCCCUGCCAUUAGAGUAUUUCAGGAUCGUGUGAUAGAGAACGAGAUUUGGGUAAAUAACUAACCUACAUUCAGAUAUUAUGGGACAGUGAGGAUCAGUCAACAGUCUUGCUGAAAAACCUCAAGUCUGCUCAUGAAUUUUGUUUGUUUCUCUCAAUAUUAACAGUUGAAAGGGAACUCUUUGAAGUCAAGUUUCAAUAGCUUGUUAUUGAGUGAUCCGUUUUCGACCCCUCAUUACACCAUUUAUGCUCCGAAAAUGUCUUCUAAUGUCUGUAGAGACUACUUGCCUUUCAAACAGAUACUGAAGCUGGUGGAUGAAGCAAAGAGUUUGGAGAUGGAGGUCCAGAGAGGGCGUGAUUCGAGUUCAGGUCACCGGGGAAGUGUAUAUGGUCAGAGAAGCGGGCCUAGUCCACCGGAGUCGAGCAAUACAAGGAGCAUCAUCAGUAGCCCCAGCAGCCGAAGCAGGAAAUGGCCCCAGUGAAUUGCUAAGCUAGCCUAAUCUUUAGUGCAUUCUGCAAGGUGUCGUGUCCGGGUGAUAUAUUUGCUUGCCCCGAUUUGGUUUUGCAAUCUUUUGAACCAUCCGUGGGAAGUGUAAGAUGUGAGGUUUGUUCGCGGUCCCUGUUCUUCAGCUGUAAAUCGCGUGGUCCAUUUUGGUCGGCCAUUAUACAUACAUUAGCGAAAAGGCGGACUUUCCGCAGCCACA